CACCUCCAUACCAUUACACUUCUCCUCCUCCUCCUAAGAAGUCUCCACCGCCUCCAUACCAUUACUCGUCGCCGCCUCCUCCUAAGAAAUCCCCGCCACCUUCAUACCAUUACAGUUCUCCUCCUCCUCCUCCUAAGAAAUCUCCACCACCACCAUACCAUUAUAGUUCUCCUCCCCCUCCAGUGAAAUCUCCACCGCCUCCAUACCAUUACUCGUCACCACCUCCUCCUAAGAAGUCUCAUCCGCCACCAUAUCAUUACUCGUCUCCUCCCCCUCCAGUGAAAUCUCCACUGCCUCCAUAUCACUACUCAUCGCCUCCUCCUCCUCCUAAAAAGUCUCCACCGC
rnacentral:lncRNA from 1 species